rnacentral:rRNA from 1 species
GUCUUCAUGGGAUUUUAUGAAGUCUGGCCUGCCCGGUGAUAAUUAUUUAACGGCCGCGGUACAUUGACCGUGCAAAGGUAGCAUAAUCAUUAGUCUCUUAAUAGGGGGCUGGAAUGAAGGGUCUUACGAGGUGUUAACUGUCUCAUUUUAAUUUAUAAAAUUUAACUUUUUAGUUAAAAGGCUAGAAUUUUGUUGGAAGACGAGAAGACCCUAUAGAGCUUUACAUUUACUUUUCCAAUAUUUUUUGGUAAAAUAUUUUUUUUUGGGGGACUAUUUGUUUCGUUGGGGUGAUGUGAAAAUAUAUUUAACUUUUUUAUCUAUAUAACAUUAAUUUAUGACUUUUAGAUCCAUUAUUAUUGAUUGUUAGAUUAAGUUACCUUAGGGAUAACAGCGUAAUCUUCCUUUGGAGUUCAAAUUUACGGGAAGGCUUGCGACCUCGAUGUUGGAUUAAGAUUAUAAUUGGGUGUAGUCACUCGGUCUAUAGGUCUGUUCGACCUUUAAAUUCUUACAUGAUCUGAGUUCAAACCGG